rnacentral:rRNA from 1 species
GUGAAUCAUCGAAUCUUUGAACGCACCUUGCGCUCCUUGGUAUUCCGAGGAGCAUGCCUGUUUGAGUGUCAUUAAAUUCUCAACCCUUCCAGCUUUUGUGGCUGGUUGUGGCUUGGAUGUGGGGGUUUUUGCAGGUCUCUCUAGAGAUCAGCUCCCCUAAAAUGCAUUAGCGGAACCGUUUGCGAUCCGUCACCGGUGUGAUAAUUAUCUACGCCAUCGACAAUGAACGCUCUCUGUUUUGUUCUGCUUCUAACUGUCUUGCAAAAGACAACUUUAUUGAACUUUGACCUCAAAUCAGGUAGGACUACCCGCUGAACUUAA